rnacentral:lncRNA from 1 species
AGAGCCAGGAAGGCUGCGAUGCUGAUGGCCAGGCUUGACUCUUCCCCAGCGCUUAGAGCAAGGGAAGGCAGCGUGAUGUCUAGGGAGCAUCCUGGCAUCUCUGGGGCCACUGUUCAGAGCAGACUAGCAGCUAAUGAAUCCCAGAAUCAUUAAGGUUGGAAAAGACCUCCAAGAUCAUCUGGUCCAACCAUCCAAUGAAGAUAUGUAGUUAUUAGCAUGGACUGGACAAGUCUGGCCACUUGACCUGAUUGAGUCCUGGUUCCUGGUGGAGUAGCAGCCCUUAG